GAAGUACUAUCUUCUUUCCCAUGCGAAACCCCAGUUCCGCACAUUCUCCUCCUGCCCUGCCCCGCGAUCCGCAUGGCCUCCGGCAAGGGAGCCAGCGAUCAGGCGGCUGGCGGUGAGGCGGAGGCCGCGAUGGAGACGGAGGAGCAGGAGGGGCCGGUGCUGUGCCUCGACCUGACGAGCUACCAGCUGCACGAUCUGAGCGAGGCGGAGAUCCCUCCCACGCUGGAGGAGCUCGACCUCACGGCCAACCGCCUCUCCUCCGUCGAUCCCCGCAUCGGCCGUCUCUCGGGCCUCCGCAAGCUCUCCUUCCGCCAGAACCUCCUGGACGACGCCGCCGUCGCGCCCCUCUCAUCCUGGGAGACAAUCGCUGGGUUACAGGAGUUGGUCCUUAGGGACAAUAAACUUACAAGGAUUCCUGAUGCCAGCAUCUUCAAGGGUCUUCUGGUGUUUGAUGUAUCUUUCAAUGAGAUAUCUUCCUUGACUGGGCUGUCCAAGGUUUCUAGUACAUUGAAGGAACUUUAUGUUUCAAAAAAUGAAGUUGCAAAGAUGGAAGAACUUGAACACUUCCAUGCAUUAGAAAUUCUUGAACUUGGCAGCAACAGACUAAGGAUGAUGGAAAAUCUUGAAACCUUGACAAAUCUACAAGAGCUAUGGCUGGGAAGAAAUCGAAUACGGACAGUCAACUUGUGUGGUUUGAAACUAAUUAAAAAAAUAAGUUUGCAAAGCAACAGGCUGACGUCAAUGGAGGGUUUUCAGGAAUGUAUUGCAUUAGAGGAACUGUACCUCAGCCACAACGGAAUCCAAAAGAUGGAAGGCCUCUCUACCUUGCAGAACCUCCGUGUUUUAGAUGUUUCAUGUAACAAGCUAACCGCUAUAGAAAAUAUCGAAACACUAACCAGGUUGGAGGACCUGUGGUUGAAUGACAACCAAAUACCAUCACUAGAUGGGAUAGAGGCUGCUUUGGCUGGUUCUCGGGAGAAGCUGAUGACCAUAUAUCUUGAGCGGAAUCCUUGUGCAAAAACUCCAAAUUACACAUCCACACUGAAGAAAAUAUUUCCAAAUAUUGAGCAAAUUGAUUCAGACAUCAUAGCAUGAAACUGUCUAAUCAUUGCAUCGAUACUCAAUCGAAGUAGGCUUCGGUUCUCUCUAGAGACGGAAUCAGCAGCCAUCAAGCUCCACUCCAAGGUCAGCGAAUCAUACAAGAAAGUUGGUUAGGACUUGGGAGUACAGUACGUAGGCUUGAGCUUCGUACUUUCUGAAUGGCGAUUGGUAACCAAAUAAACGAAUGUUGUUUGAACCAGCAGAGCUGUAGCAUUAUCACAGGGUCCAUAGGCAUGUUGCUAUUCCAAGAUGCUGUUGUGCUCUGUUUUUUCUUCUUCUGUAGAUUCAUUUCAUAAUCAG